rnacentral:rRNA from 1 species
GCUCGAGUGGCGAACGGAUGAGUAACACGUGAGUAACCUGCCCUUGACUUUGGGAUAACUUCAGGAAACUGGGGCUAAUACCGGAUAGGAGCUCCUGCUGCAUGGUGGGGGUUGGAAAGUUUCGGCGGUUGGGGAUGGACUCGCGGCUUAUCAGCUUGUUGGUGGGGUAGUGGCUUACCAAGGCUUUGACGGGUAGCCGGCCUGAGAGGGUGACCGGCCACAUUGGGACUGAGAUACGGCCCAG